rnacentral:rRNA from 1 species
UGGCUCAGAUUGAACGCUGGCGGAAUGCUUUACACAUGCAAGUCGAGCGGCAGCGCGGGGGCAACCCUGGCGGCGAGCGGCGAACGGGUGAGUAACAUAUCGGAACGUACCCAGUCGUGGGGGAUAACUAUCCGAAAGGAUAGCUAAUACCGCAUACGUCCUGAGGGAGAAAGCGGGGGAUCGCAAGACCUCGCGCGAUUGGAGCGGCCGAUAUCGGAUUAGCUAGUUGGUGGGGUAAAGGCUCACCAAGGCGACGAUCCGUAGCGGGUCUGAGAGGACGACCCGCCACACUGGAACUGAGACACGGUCCAGACUCCUACGGGAGGCAGCAGUGGGGAAUUUUGGACAAUGGGCGCAAGCCUGAUCCAGCCAUGCCGCGUGAGUGAAGAAGGCCUUCGGGUUGUAAAGCUCUUUCGGCCGGGAAGAAAUCGCACGGGUUAAUACCCUGUGUGGAUGACGGUACCGGAAUAAGAAGCACCGGCUAACUACGUG